rnacentral:rRNA from 1 species
UACGUAGGGUGCGAGCGUUUCCGGAAUUAUUGGGCGUAAAGAGCUUGUAGGCGGUCUGUCGCGUCUGCUGUGAAAAUCCGGGGCUCAACCCCGGACUUGCAGUGGGUACGGGCAGACUAGAGUGUGGUAGGGGAGACUGGAAUUCCUGGUGUAGCGGUGAAAUGCGCAGAUAUCAGGAGGAACACCGAUGGCGAAGGCAGGUCUCUGGGCCACUACUGACGCUGAGAAGCGAAAGCAUGGGGAGCGAACAGG